GUCGUUCUUCGCGUGCUGCCGCUGCUGGCAUCGUCGACGGACGGCCCCGGGCGGCACCGGAGAAGCUAACCUUUUUAGCCUGUUUGUGUUCAUAAGGCUUUGUGGUUGGUUGGGUUGGUUACCUUGGCGCGCAAAGUGUGGGGAUCUUUUUGUAGCAUCGAAGUGUAGAGAUCUCUCUCCUUGCUUCAGGAAGCCAGCCUUGUAGUGGUAUCUGUUUCACCUUUUGUUUGCUUCUUUUUCCUUUAUGCUAGUCGAACAAUUUCGAAAGUUGGUGACGUGAUUGUAGAAAGAUGUGGGUCUCGGCGGAGUUCUCCAGAGCAUGGUGGCGGCUCCGUCCAUCCAUUGUCGUGUCAGCGGAGCGUCGUGCCCUUUCUGUAGAUCUGCCUAAUAUCUAUCCAGAUCAGAUGCAUGUGUCAGCAGAUGUUCAAGUGUCGCCCUCACGUGCCUGUCCCGGGUAGGUUUGUUGCAUGAACCGAUGGACAUCUUAGUAGUAGCAAUCUUGAUCGUAGCAGUAAUCUGGAUCUGCGAUCUGUAUUGGCACCUCCGAGUAGUAAUCUGGUGCCUGUGUUUGAUGGGCAUGUGGAUGCACGUUCUGGCGAUCGGAUCCGGCACGGCACAUGGACCUGAGAGCGAGAUCGCGCUGUCUUUCAUACGAGAGCUCUGUGUGCCCGGCCUAAGUGCAUCAACACCCAGGCUCCCCAAACCCUCCGUAUACGCUCGGAUUGAUCUAACGGACGGCUUGAUCGCUGACCGGUAAAAAAACCUGAUCCAGACGGGCUCCUCAUUAUGGCUCUAUAUGCCGUGACUGACCGGCAUCCCUCAUAUUCAGACUAAAUCUGAGACGCGCAAGGGAGCGUCCGUUACGUCGGACUGAUCGCAGGCCGGCAUGGAAACACUAGGAAAACCAUCGGUCUGACGGGUUUCUCCUCUGAAGGUGUGGACGCAUACAUGCCGCCGCAAGGUGCCGCUCUGGCUCGCUGCACGACGGCGACCCCAGCCCUAGCCGCAUCCAUUUUUCUCCCUCUCCGCGUCACCAGCCCUAGCCACAUCCACUUCCCUCCCUCUCCGCUCGCCCUUGGCCGAUAGCCAUGGCCCGACAAAGGGUGAUGACCUAUGCCAUAGUCACACCGGAGUGGCGCCUCCAACUACUCGAGGAAAUCCGGGCUAGGCGCGAAGCCCGGAUCGCAACCGGCCUGCCUCGAGACUCAUCGAAGCCAGGAAGGAGGGGGAGGAGGCGGAGCAGAACAUGCCAUGGAGGAGGCGGAGCCGUCUACGGACUUCACCAUGGAGGACUCCAUGGCGGAGUUCAAGGUGUCCCAAGCGGAAGAGGCGACGAAGCAGGCGGCCAUUCUCGACUCCAUCCAGUUGGAGGCCAAGGUGGAGGCCAACCGCCACUUCCCUCGCUAAUGAAGGGCGCAGAUUGACGAAGUCAUCGGCGAGAUGGAGUUCAACGACGAGUCAGAGUUGCCGCAGGCGGCCAUCUACCCGGAGCCCGGCACGGAGAUCGUCAACAUCUCCGACGACGAGUAGUGUAGGUAGAUCAGAUAUCUACAUAGUACUUAGAUUUUAUUUUGCAUGGUUUGAGGUAUCAACUUUCAGGCAGUUGGAUGCAGUGGACGAAAUAUGAGGGGUGAUCGGGCACGUCCACGAACGUAUAAGGAGGGUCGGAUUUGAGAAGUCCGGUUGUAGAUGCUCUAAGGACUCCCACGUCUCCUGUAGCCUUAGGGCCAUGGGUGCGCGGUGGAUCCCGGCACUUACCGGCGGGAGGGCUCCGUUUUCAUGUGCUUCCUCAAGUUUCGUUAAUGUUUGUGUCUUGCUCAAGAAGACGAGACGGCGGCGGCUUCUUGAAGAUGAAAUAAGGUUCCCCCCACCUAGCCCCCGUCCCAAUGGUGUGUCUAGUAUUGUCGGAGGGCGUGUGGAGGUGUGUCUUCGGCGGAUCUCGCGAGAUUUGGUCGGUGGUUGUCUUUGGUGGAUCCGGUCUUUGUUCGUCUUUGUUCAUGUGUCUUCGGGUUGGAUCCUUUCGAUCUAAAAUUCUCUUCAUCUGCGGCGGUUGCUGUUCUGGGGUGUUAGUCGGACUUUAGCACGACGACUUUCCGACUGUCUACUACAACAAGUUGUGCCCGGCUCCGGCAAGGGAGGGGUGAUGACGGGGGCGCGCCUUCGGCUCGCUUCAGUGCUUGUAGUCGUCGCUAGGUGGUCUAUGAAUCUGGAUGUAAUUUUUAUUAUUUUUGGUCUUCGUUGUACUGUAAUGAUUGAAGAUGAAAAGGAGGACAUUGUGGAUCACAGCUGCGUGCGUGCUGCCGCCCAAAGAUCCUCCUGUUUUGAGAAUUGAGAUGCUGGCCACCCGUUGCUCGCUCGUUGCACGCCCAUUGGCAAGAUGCAUACAAGUGCAGACAGCGUGCUUGGUGCACGUGACGCAUGCCUCGCAUGAGUGGCUCACGUUACUCCAACGGUCUCGGCCUCGCGAGUGGUCCUCCCGCGAGGGUCCAAGGACAGGAUCACCGGGGUCCGGAUGCAUGAACCACGGGUGACCUUGCCGUUGAUGGCCAUCGACCAUGGGUCCUCCAACUGUCCAACUCCAACAGAGCUAUUCCAUUGAGUUUGAUGUCGCCAGGCCAGUAGAAAUUUCUCAAACCUCUGUCAAAGCCUCAAAGGGGUGUAGAUACGGGUUUCAAUUCACAGCAAAGAUGUUAGCUCACCCUUCCCUCAAUUCCCUUCCCUUCCGCUCCCCCUCUACCUUUCGUAUUCGACCAAAUGGGUUUUCUUUUAUUUCUGAUACAAAAUGUUUGAAGAGAGAGAGAUUUGAUGGAAUAAUUAUUAUUUUGCUUAAGCCUCAUGGGCAUAUAUAUAUAAGCACAAUGAUCAACUUGAAAUAAAAGACAAGCCAGAACAAAUCCUAGUCUAUCUCGUCUUUCCUAAUAAUCAAUAUACUCAACAUCCCCCCACAGUCACAGCGGUAGCGAUGCAGACGGUGAGACUGGAGAAGAAUCCGAAGGCAAGCCGACGGACACCCCACACAGUCGUAACGGUCGAUGCAUCGCGGAGUCGUGGCUGGAGUGGCAACCGACGAGGUUGCUCAAGCAAGGCGGUAGCCCUUCGUGCCGUUGUUGAGGUAGCCGAGAGCGUAGGGUGGUGGAGCCGUGGUCGAGGUAGCCGUGCGAGGGACGCCGUGGCCGAUGUCGAGUCGGGGUGACCGGUGUCGAGGUACUCGCCGUGGACCGGGAAGAAGAGCAGCGGCGGCGGCUAGGUCAGAAGCGCGGCGACGGUGCUCGAAAUAGGCGAGGAAGAACCCGACAACAUGACGAAGACCGGCGCGGAUGGUGGCGUUCCCGCGCCUAGAGAGGCGGCGCGACGCAUACCACAUAAGUCGACGCGCGGGGACGAUGGAGUAGACUGCGCGCCACGACGCUACGAGCUGAAGGGGCGACGCAGCGGCAGCACGCGGGUCGGGCGACGGCGGGGAAGACCUCAUGGCGAUUGCAGGGACCGCGUGCCACGCUCGCUACGCCCGACUGGGCGACGCAACAGCAGCGCGAGGGUCAGUGCAGCCUCAGAGACGGCCUGGAGCGGACGUGUAAGUGCAUCUAGUGCCACCCCUAGUUGGUUUUCAAGUAUUGACGACAAACUUGGUUAAGGGACUAAUGUGUUUGUGAGAAUUGCAGGAUAACACAGGUAGUAGUCCCAUAUUGAUUCGGUUUACCUAUCAGAGAUGACCCCUAAAAAUGUGUGAAGAUAUUGAAGAUAAUGGUGGUCUGUGAAGUUAUUCACAUUGAAGAUUAUGACAUGAGAAGACAUUCACGUGAAGACUAUGGAGUGCGAAGACAUAGUUGUUUCGUAGUUUCCUUUUCUUCUUUGUUGAGUCAUAGGAACCACCCUUUAUCAAAAAAGGAACCACCGUACGGUUAAGUGGGGUCCAAGUGAAUAAAGUCAGAGUGACUGAUGUGAUGCUCAACCAAAUGCUAUGUCUUCGAGCGAAGACAAUGAGAGCAAAUCUUAUCCAGAGCUGGAUAAGUCAGCUUUACUUGUAGCUCAAGUCAAGCUGUCGCGUGUGUUUGAAAUCUGACCGUUGGACACGUGUCAGUUCCUUAGUGACCCAGGGUCAUUUCGGACAAAUCAGGUCGGGUUGCCUCCUGGCUAUAAAUAGCCCACCCCUACACCAUAAGUUGGUGGCUGCUCAGAGUUAGUGCACGGCUUUUGUCGUUUGAGAGCAACCCACCUCCGAAGCAUUUGAGAGAGAGAGAUCCUUGCGAGGACAAAGCCCAAACACCCAGAGCCAAAGAGUGUUAGGCAUCACUGAAGUCUUUCUGUCCGCGUGAUCUGAAGACUUAUUACACUUGAGGACUGUGAAUCCUCCAGCUAGUUAGGCGUCGCGUUCUAAGCAUCCAAGAGUCAUUGUGGAUUUCCGGUGAACGAAGUCUGUGAAGGUUUGGAAGUCUACCUUGAAGACUUACCAGAGUGAUUGGGCGAAGACUAAGUGUCCUUAGCUCAAGGGGAAUAAGGUGAAGACGCGGUCUUCUGAGUUAAAUCUCAGCCUCCCUAACCAGACGUACAGUUGUCACAGCAACUGAAACUGGUCCAACAAAUCCUUGUCCUCACCAAGCAACUGGUUCUAUCCCUUACCUCUCUUUAGUUACAGUUUGUCUUCAUGAAGUCAUUGCCUACUUGCAUGACCUGAUUGUCUUCACUGUGUGAAGACUGUUGUUGUUUGGCUUCAUACUAUCUUCCAUCCUGAUCCAUACUACCUAGCUGCUGAUAGUCUUCGUGCUUUCACUUCAUUACUUACUUGACUAUGGCUUGUCUAGGGUCGUCUAACUUCCGCUGCAUAUCAAUAGGUUUAUUUCUACUGUUUGUCUUCAAAGCCCACGUGUUUUGAAGACUUUCAUAAAUCGCCUAUUCAUCCCCCCUCUAGUCGACAACUAGCACUUUCAAUUGGUAUCAGGGCAAGGUGCUCCCUUGUUCUGUGUGAUUCGGUUUAACCACCUGGAAUUUUAGCUAUGUCGACUGCAGGGAUAAUCAAAGUCUCCGCUGCGUGCCCUGUCUUCGAUGGCACUGAUUACCCUUACUGGAAGAAUAAUAUGCGUAUGCAUCUUGAAGCCAUUGACGUCGACCUCUGGUAUGUCGUCAAGAACGGUGUUCCCAAGGUCGGUGAAGGUGUCACUGCUGCUGAUGUCAAGAGGUUCAUUCAACUGGACUCGACUGCCAAGAACAUCAUCUGUGGUCAUCUGACAAAAGGACAGUAUGGUCGUGUGAGUGCUCUGGAAACUGCGAACCUAGUCUGGGACUGGCUCUCCAAGGUCAACGAAGGUGUCUCAACCCAGAGAGACUCAAGGAUUAGUGUUCUUCGCAACCUCUUCAACCGCUUCAAGAGAAAUGACAAUGAGAAUGUCCAGCUCACAUUUGAUCUCCUCACUGAUAUCACAAAUGAGCUUCACGCACUCGGCACCACUAAGAUCACCAAGCACGAAAUCGUCAAGACGCUUUUGAGAUCGCUUGACAGCUCAUUCGACACCCUGGCCCUGAUGAUUCAAGAACGCCCCUGACUUCAAGACUCUCGAUCCAUCUGACAUACUUGAGAGGCUCAACACACAUGAGUUCCAGCUAUCUAAGAAAAUAGAUAUAUAUGGUCCCAACUAUGGCCGAACUCUUGCUUUGAAGGCAAAGGUUGUUUCCUCAUCUGAAGAAGAAUCUGACUGCAGUUCUGGGGAUCCUGAAUACAUUGGAAAGGAGCUUGCUAUGCUUGUGAAGAAGUUCCAGAAGUUCACCAAGAAGAAAGGCUUCGGAAAGUCUUCAAGAUCCAGCUCAAGAAAUGAUGAAGCCUCCACUCGUGAUCACAAGAAGAGAACAUGCCACAAGUGCAAGAAACCUGGUCACUACAUCUCUGAGUGUCCACAGUGGGACAGUGAGACCAAGAAGAAGAAAAAGAGCAAGGAAUACGAUUCUGAUGACAAGAAGAAGAAGAAAUUCUCAAAGUGUUCUUCAAAGUCUUCAUCACACAAGAAGAGCUCAUCAGGCAAGGCUCGUGCAUUUGUUGGCAAGGAGAUGGAUUCAGAGGAGGAGUCUGCAUCUGAGGAGGCAGAGGUGGAUUCUGAAGAGGAAUCUGAUUCAGGCGUGGCAAGCCUGGCUCUAGCUUCAGCCUAUGUUGCCAAGUCCAUCUUCAACACUGAAGACAAUGACCCCGUCACCAAUGCUGAUGCUAAUGAUGAGGAUGACUCUGCUCCCACCUACUGCUUCAUGGCACGCGGUGCCAAGGUAAACUCACGCGAUGCUUACUUUCAAACAUCAAGCAAAGAUGACUCUGAAUGUGAAUCUAAACCUAGCUAUGAAACACUUGCUAAAAUUGCAACUGAACAACAGAAUGCUAUGGAACAUAUUAAAAAAUUACUAGACAAAAGCGAUGACCUGUUGGACGCGGAAAUGAUCCGAUCUCAGUCCUUAAUUGAAGACAUAAAAAAUCUUCAUGUCAAGUAUGAGGAACUUGAAAGUCGUCAUGAAACGCUCUCAACAACUCAUGAAAAGCUUUCCUACGAUUAUCUUCAAAGGAAGCAAGAACUUGAGAACUUGAGAGCGGCUCAUGAAGAUCUUCAAAAGGAGAACGAGUCACUUCGCGCUCAACAGAUCAGUUCCGCUCAGGAAGGAUUUGAACCCCCAUGUCUAAAAUGUCUUGAGCGUGAUAACGCUGUCUGUAUUGCUGAAUGUUCUACUGCUGCUACUGUUGCAAUAUCUUCAACUGCUGAGGUGGUAACUAACCCCUCUACUGAGGAUACCACUACUACUGCUGAUGAGAAUGCCAGGUUGAAGACAUUGCUUGAGACAGGAAUGUACAAAAGUCACAAAGGGCAUCAGACACUAUGUAAUGUCCUCAAAAAGCAGAUACUGAACCGAAACCCUAGGAAAGAGGGUGUUGGGUUCGAGAGGAAAAUGAAUGUUGAUGGUUCUUACUGGAAGCCUGAGCAGUACCCCAAAACCACAUGGGUUGCUGCAAAGGGACCUUCAGUGGAUCCAUCUACCUUAUCUGGCUUCACUUGUGCUUACCCGAUUAUCAUUGAUGAAUCCUUUAAUGCAAACUAUAAACUGUUUAAGAAUCAAAAUGGUGAAGUGUUUGCCAGGUAUAUUGGUACUAACUGCAGGAAUGGACCACCUAUGAAGAAGAUCUGGGUGCCCAAAAGUUGUCUUCAGAAUCUUCAUGUGAAUGUCAUCAUGACACCACCUAGGAAGAAGACAAACCCUAGACCAAAGGCUUCAUAUGGUCCAAAGGCUUCAUACAGACAAAGCACUCACCAGAGUCACCCUAACGCCAAUGUUUUGCAGGGAAACCAUACUGAGACUUAUGAAUAUGAGCUGUUGGGGAACGUAGCGGAAAUUCAAAAUUUUCUACGCAUCACCAAGAUCAAUCUAUGGAGUAAUCUAGCAACGAGGGGAAGGGGAGUGCAUCUACAUACCCUUGUAGAUCGCGAUGCGGAAGCAUUGCAAGAACGCGGAUGAAGGAGUCGUACUCGUAGCGAUUCAGAUCGCGGUUGAUUCCGAUCUAAGCGCCGAACCACGGCGCCUCCGCGUUCAACACACGUGCAGCCCGGUGACGUCUCCCACGCCUUGAUCCAGCAAGGAGAGAGGGAGAGGUUGGGGAAGACUCCGUCCAGCAGCAGCACGACGGCGUGGUGGUGGUGGAGGAGCGUGGCAAUCCUGCAGGGCUUCGCCAAGCACCGCGGGAGAGGAGAAGGGAGAGGGGUAGGGCUGCGCCAAGAGAGAGGUGUUCUCGUGUCUAUGGCAGCCCCAAAUACCUCAAGUAUAUAUAGGGGAAGGGGAGGGGCUGCGCCCCCAUCUAGGUUUCCCUCCCUAGGGGUGGCGGCAGCCCCCAAAACCCAUCUAGGGUGCGGCCAAGGGGAGGAGAGAGGGGGGCGCCACUAGGGUGGGCCUUAAGGCCCAUCUGGACCUAGGGUUUGCCCCCUCCCACUCUCCCUGCGCCUUGGGCCUUGGUGGGGGGGCGCACCAGCCCACCUGGAGCUCGUCCCCUCCCACACUUGGCCCACGCAGCCUUCUGGGGCUGGUGGCCCCACCUGGUGGACCCCCGGGACCCUCCCGGUGGUCCCGGUACAUUACCGAUAGCACCCGAAACUUUUCCGGUGACCAAAACAGGACUUCCCAUAUAUAAAUCUUUACCUCCGGACCAUUCCGGAACUCCUCGUGACGUCCGGGAUCUCAUCCGGGAAUCCGAACAACAUUCGGUAACCACGUAUCUCUAUUCCCUAUAACCCUAGCGUCAUCGAACCUUAAGUGUGUAGACCUUACGGGUUCGGGAACCAUGCAGACAUGACUGAGACGUUCUCCAGCCAAUAACCAACAGCGGGAUCUGGAUACCCAUGUUGGCUCCCACAUGUUCCACGAUGAUCUCAUCGGAUGAACCACGAUGUCGGGGAUUCAAUCAACCCCGUAUGCAAUUCCCUUUGUCUAUCGGUAUGUUACUUGCCCGAGAUUCGAUCGUCGGUAUCCCGAUACCUUGUUCAAUCUCGUUACCGGCAAGUCUCUUUACUCGUUCCGUAACUCACAUCAUCCCGUGAUCAACUCCUUGGUCACAUUGUGCACAUUAUGAUGAUGUCCUACCGAGUGGGCCCAGAGAUACCUCUCCGUUUACACGGAGUGACAAAUCCCAGUCUCGAUUCGUGCCAACCCAACAGACACUUUCGGAGAUACCUGUAGUGCACCUUUAUAGCCACCCAGUUACGUUGUGACGUUUGGUGCACCCAAAGCAUUCCUACGAUAUCCGGGAGUUGCACAAUCUCAUGGUUUAAGGAACUAAUACUUGACAUUUAGAAAAGCUCUUAGCAAACGAACUACACGAUCUUGUGCUAGGCUUAGGAUUGGGUCUUGUCCAUCACAUCAUUCUCCUAAUGAUGUGAUCCCGCUAUCAACGACAUCCAAUGUCCAUGGUCAGGAAACCCUAACCAUCUAUUGAUCAACGAGCUAGUCAACUAGAGGCUUACUAGGGACAUGGUGUUGUCUAUGUAUCCACACAUGUAUCUAAGUUUCCUAUCAAUACAAUUCUAGCAUGGAUAAUAAACGAUUAUCAUGAACAAGGAAAUAUAAUAAUAACCAAUUUAUUAUUGCCUCUAGGGCAUAUUUCCAACAUGAGCGUGUUUCGUCAAACCGCUAUGUUCAUAAAACCAAGAACUUUUCUGCUUAUUCUUAUGAGUAUUAUUCACCUCCUGCAAGGCUAUUUGCUAGGGCUCCAAAGCCGAAGUUCUCAGAUGCUGCACUUAGACUCAUUGCUUCUAAGCCACCCCUGAAGAUGUGGGUGGUUAAGAAGAAUUAACUUUCUUUUGUAGGAAAUGGUCUCCAGUCGGAAAUCAAAGGCGUCUGAUGCUUAUGUCGGGGACCUUAAACAUCUUGUGGGACACAAGAUGAAAUGUCCAAAUGGUCUUACUAUGUAUUUUGUCCCACGAUUCCUUGACAAUAAUCCUAUUUAUCCUAACCGAGAUCUGAACUUUCAUAAUCCGCUUGUUCGUCAAAUGUUUAUGCUUCACAAUACCCUUGGUGAAGCCUAUCCCCCAAACUGCACUGUAGGGUAUGACACCAAAGGCUUCAGAAUAGAUUAUGGAUAGUGGAUUGCUACCUCUUGAGCACUGCGUUGGUUUUCCCUUGAAGAGGAAAGGGUGAUGCAGUAAAGUAGCGUAAGUAUUUCCCUCAGUUUUUGAGAACCAAGGUAUCAAUCCAGUAGGAGACCACGCUCGAGUCCCACGCACCUACACCAACAAAUAAGAACCUCACAACCAAUGCGAUAAAGGGGUUGUCAAUCCCUUCACUUACGAGAGUGAGAUCUGAUAGAUAUGAUAAGAUACUAUUUUUGGUAUUUUUAUGGUAAAGAGUAAAAGUAAAGAAAGCAAAAUAAACGGUAAAAGAAAUAGCUUGUUGACGGAAGAUUAAUAUGAUGGAAAAUAGACCCGGGGCCAUAGGUUUCACUAGUGGCUUCUCUCAAGAGCAUAAGUAUUACGGUGGGUAAACGAAUUACUGUCGAGCAAUUGAUAGAAUUGAGCAUAGUUAUGAGAAUAUCUAGGUAUGAUCAUGUAUAUAGGCAUCACGUCCGCGACAAGUAGACCGAAACGAUUCUGCAUCUACUACUAUUACUCCACACAUCGACCGCUAUCCAGCAUGCAUCUAGAGUAUUAAGUUCAUAAGAACAGAGUAAUUCUUUAAGAAAGAUAACAUGAUGUACAGGGAUAAACUCAUGCAAUAUGAUAUAAACCCCAUCUUUUUAUCCUCGAUGGCAACAAUACAACGUGCCUUGCUGCCCCUGCUAUCACUGGGAAAGGACAACGCAAGAUUGAACCCAAAGCUAAGCACUUCUCCCAUUGCAAGAAAGAUCAAUCUAGUGGGCCAAACCAAACUGAUAAUUCGAAGAGACUUGCAAAGAUAACCAAUCAUACAUAAAAGAAUUCAGAGGAGAUUCAAAUAUUGUUCAUAGAUAAUCUUGAUCAUAAACCCACAAUUCAAUCAUAAACCCACAAUUCACCGGAUCUCGACAAACACACCGCAAAAGAAGAGUUACAUCAAAUAGAUCUCCAAGAAGAUCAAGGAGAACUUUGUAUUGAGAUCCAAAGAGAGAGAAGAAGCCAUCUAGCUAAUAACUAUGGACCCGAAGGUCUGAGGUAAACUACUCACACAUCAUCGGAGAGGCUACGGUGUUGAUGUAGAAGCCCUCCGUGAUCAAUGGCCCCUCCGGCGGAGCGCCGGAAAAGGCCCCAAGAUGGAUUCCGUUUGAUAUCCUUUUCCUUCGAAACACUGAAAUAGGCAAAAAACAGCAAUUUGGGCUGGCCUCCGCUUAAUAGGUUAGUCCCAAAAAUAAUAUAAAAGUGUAUAAUAAAGCCCAAUAAACAUCCAAAACAGAAUAUAAUAUAGCAUGGAACAAUAAAAAGUUAUAGAUACGUUGGAGACGUAUCAAGCAUCCCCAAGCUUAAUUCCUACUCGUCCUCGAGUAGGUAAAUGAUAAAAACAGAAUUUUUGAUGUGGAAUGCUACUUAGCAUAAUUUUCAAUGUAACCCUCUUAAUUGUGGUAUGAAUAUUCAGAUCCGAAAGAUUCAAGAUAAAAGUUUAAUAUUGACAUAAAAGUAAUAAUACUUCAAGCAUACUAACUAAGCAAUUAUGUCUUCUCAAAAUAACAUGGCCAAAGAAAGUUCAUCCCUACAAAAUCAUAUAGUUUGGUUAUGCUCCAUUUUCGUCACACAAGAAUGCUCUCAUCAUGCACAACCCCGAUGACAAGCCAAGCAAUUGUUUCAUACUUUAGUUAUAUCAAACUUUUUUCAACUUUCACGCAAUACAUGAGCGUGAGCCAUGGAUAUAGCACUAUGGGUGGAAUAUAAUAUAAUGAUGGGGGUUAUGUGGAGAAGACAAAAAAGGAGAAAGUCUCACAUCAACGCGGAUAAUCAACGGUCUAUGGAGAUGCCCAUCAAUUGAUGUUAAUGUGAGGAGUAGGGAUUGCCAUGCAACGGAUGCACUAGAGCUAUAAAUGUAUGAAAGCUCAACAAAAGAAACUAAGUGGGUGUGCAUCCAACUUGCUUGCUCACGUAGAUAUAGGGCAUUUGAGGAAGCCCAUUGUUGGAAUAUACAAGCCAAGUUCUAUAACGAAAAAUUCCCACUAGUAUAUGAAAGUGACAAAACAAGAGACUAUCUAUCAUAAGGAUCAUGGUGCUACUUUCAAGCAAAAGUAUGGAAAAAGGUAGUAGCAUUGCCCCUUUUUUUCUUUUUUUGGGCCUUUCUUUUUUUCUUUUAGCCUUUCUCUUUUUUUUGGGACACUGCUCUAUGAAUGAUGAUCAUCACACUUCUAUUUAUUUACAACUCAAUGAUUACAACUCGGUACUAGAACAAAGUAUGACUCUAUAUGAAUGCCUCCGGCGGUGUACCGGGAAUGAAUCAAGAGUGACAUGUAUGAAAUAAUAUGCAUGGUGGCUUUGCCACAAAUACGAUGUCAACUACAUGAUCAUGCGAGUCAAUAUGACAAUGAUGAACGUGUCAUGAUAAACGGAACGGUGGAAAUUUGCAUGGCAAUAUAUCUCGGAAUGGCUAUGGAAAUGCCAUAAUAGGUAGGUAUGGUGGCUCUUUGAGGAAGAUAUAAGGAGGCUUAUGUGUGAUAGAGCGUAUCAUAUCACGGGGUUUGGAUGCACCGGCGAAGUUUGCACCAACUCUCAAGGUGAGAAAGGGCAAUGCACGGUACCGAAGAGGCUAGCAAUGAUGGAAGGGUAAGAGUGCGUAUAAUCCAUGGACUCAACAUUAGUCAUAAAGAACUCACAUACUUAUUGCAAAAAUCUACAAGUCAUCAAAAACCAAGCACUACGCGCAUGCUCCUAGGGGGAUAGAUUGGUAGGAAAAGACCAUCGCUCGUCCCCGACCGCCACUCAUAAGGAGGACAAUCAAAGAACACCGCAUGUUUCAAAUUUGUUACACAACGUUUACCAUACGUGCAUGCUACGGGAUUUGCAAACUUCAACACAAGUAUUUCUCAAAUUCACAACUACUCAACUAGCACAACUUUAAUAUCACUACAUCCAUAUCUCAAAACAAUCAUCAAGCAUCAAACUUCUCUUAGUAUUCAACACACUCAUAAGAAAGUUUUUACUAAUCUUGAAUUCCUAGCCUAUUAGGACUAAUUUCACAAUUAAAGCAAAUUACCAUGCUGUUUUGUAGGACUCUCAAAAUGAUAUAAGUGAAGCAUGAGAGAACAAUAGUUUCUAUAAAACAAAUCCACCACCGUGCUCUAAAAGAUAUAAGUGAAGCACUAGAGCAAAAACUAUAUAACUCAAAAGAUAUAAGUGAAGCACAUAGAGUAUUCUAAUAAAUUCCGAAUCAUGUGUGUCUCUCUCAAAAGGUGUGUCCAGCAAGGAUGAUUGUGGUAAACUAAAAAUCAAAGACUCAAAUCGUACAAGACGCUCCAAGCAAAACACAUAUCAUGUGGUGAAUAAAAAUAUAGCUCCAAGUAAAGUUAUCGAUGGACGAAGACGAAAGAGGGAAUGCCUUCCGGGGCAUCCCCAAGCUUUGGAUUUUUGGUGUCCUUAGAUUAUCUUGGGGUGCCAUGGUCAUCCCCAAGCUUAGGCUCUUGCCACUCCUUGUUCCAUAAUUCAUCAAAUCUUUACCCAAAACUUGAAAACUUCACAACACAAAACUUAACAGAAAAUCUCGUGAGCUCCGUUAGCGAAAGAAAACAAAACACCACUUCAAGGUACUGUAUUGAACUCAUUAUUUAUUUAUAUUGGUGUUAAACUUACUGUAUUCCAACUUCUCUAUGGUUUAUAAACCAUUUUACUAGCCAUAGAUUCAUCAAAAUAAGCAAACAACACACGGAAAACAGAAUCUGUCAAAAACAGAACAGUCUGUAGUAAUCUGUAACUAACGCAAACUUCUGGAACUCAGAAAAAUCUACCAAAAUAGGACGCCCUACAUAGUUUGUUUAUGUAUCUACUGCAAUUGGAAUCAGUAUUUUAUCACGUUCUGGUGAUUUUUAACAAUUGUUUUCGUGAACAGAAAGUUUCUGGAAUUUUCAGCAAGAUCAAAUAACUAUCAUCCAAGAAGUUCCUAUAGGUUUAACUUGGCACAAACACUAAUUAAAACAUAAAAAAAAUAUAACCAGAGGCUAGAUCAAAGAUUUAUUCCUAAGAAGAAGCAAAAAGCAAAAAACUAAAAUAAAAUUGGGUUGCCUCCCAACAAGCGCUAUCGUUUAACUCCCCUAGCUAGGCAUAAAAGCGAAGAUAGAUCUAGGUAUUGCCAUCUUUGGUAUGCAAUCCAUAAGUGGAUCUCAUAAUAGAUUCAUAAGGUAAUUUAAUUUUCUUUCUAGGGAAGUGUUCCAUGCCUUUCCUUAACGGAAAUUGGAAUCUAAUAUUCCCUUCCUUCAUAUCAAUAAUUGCACCAAUCGUUCUAAGGAAAGGUCUACCAAGAAUAAUAGGACAUGAAGGAUUGCAAUCUAUGUCAAGAACAAUGAAAUCUACGGGCACAUAGUUCCUAUUUGCAAUAAUAAUAACAUCAUUAAUUCUUCCCAUAGGUUUCUUAAUAGUGGGAUCCGCAAGGUGCAAGUUUAAAGAACAAUCAUCAAAUUCGCGGAAACCUAACAAAUCACACAAAAUUUUUGGAAUCGUGGAAACACUAGCACCCAAAUCACACAAAGCAUAGCAUUCAUGAUCUUUAAUUUUAAUUUUAAUAGUAGGUUCCCACUCAUCAUAAAGUUUUCUAGGGAUAGAAACUUCCAACUCAAGUUUUUCUUCAUAAGAUUGCAUCAAAGCAUCAACGAUAUGUUUAGUAAAAGCUUUAUUUUGACUAUAAGCAUGAGGAGAAUUUAGCACGGAUUGCAACAGGGAAAUACAAUCUAUCAAAGAUCAAUUAUCAUACUUAAAUUCCUUGAAAUCCAAAAUAGUGGGUUCAUUGAUAUCUAAAGUUUUGACCUCUUCAAUCCCACUUUUACCAAUUUUUGCAUCAAGAUCUAAAAACUCCGAAAUUUUGGGACGCCUUCUAGGUAAAGGUGACUCAUCUCCAGUCCCAUCAUUAUCAAGAUUCAUAUUGCAAAACAAAGAUUUAAUAGGAGACACAUCAAUAACUUUUAGAUCCUCAUCUUUAUUCUCAUAGAAACUAGAAGAACACGCUUUCACAAAGCAAUCUUUCUUAGCACGCAUCCUAGCGGUUCUUUCUUUGCACUCAUCAAUGGAAAUUCUCGUGGAUUUGAGAGACUCGUUGAUAUCAUGCUUAGGUGGAAUAGAUCUAAGUUUCAAAGAAUCAACAUCAAGAGAAAUUCUAUCAGCGUUCCUAGCCAAUUCAUCAACCUUAAGCAAUUUUUCUUCAAGCGAAGCGUUGAAAUUCUUUUGUGAAUUCAUAAACUCCUUAACACUAGUCUCAAAUUCAGAGGGAAUAUUAUUAAAAUUUCCAUAAGAAUUGUUGUAGGAAUUACCAUAAUUAUUAGAGGAAUUACUAGGGAACGACCUAGGAUUAAAGUUUCCUCUAUACGCGUUGUUACCAAAAUUAUUCCUACCAACAAAAUUCACAUCCAUAGAUUCAUUAUUAUUCUCAAUCAAAGUGGAGAAAGGCAUAUCAUUAGGAUCAGAAGAAACACUUUUAGUAGCAAAUAAUUUCAUAAGUUCAUCCAUCUUUCCACUCAAAACAUUAAUUUCUUCUAUCACAUGCACUUUUUUAUUAGUAGAUCUUUCGGUGUGCCAUUGAGAAUAAUUAACCAUAAUAUUUUCUAGGAGUUUAGUAGCUUCUCCUAAAGUGAUUUCCAUAAAAGUGCCUCCCGCGGCCGAAUCUAAAAGAUUUCUAGAAGCAAAAUUUAAUCCAGCAUAAUUUUUUUGUAUAAUCACCCAAAGAUUCAAACCAUGUGUAGGGCAAUUACCUAUCAUUAAUUUCAUCCUCUCCCAAGCUUGUGCAACAUGUUCAUGAUCAAGUUGCUUAAAAUUCAUGAUAUCGUUUCUAAGAGAGAUGAUUUUAGCGGGAGGAAAAUACUUAGAGAUAAAAGCAUCUUUGCACUUAUUCCAUGAAUCAAUACUAUUUUUAGGCAAAGACGAAAACCAAGCUUUAGCAUGAUCUCUAAGCGAAAAAGGAAAUAGCUUCAAUUUAACAAUAUCAUUGUCCACAUCUUUCUUCUUUUGCAUAUCACACAAAUCAACGAAGCUAUUUAGAUGGGUAGCGGCAUCUUCACUAGGAAGGCCGACGAAUUGAUCUUUCAUGACAAGAUUCAACAAAGCAGCAUUAAUUUCACAAGAUUCAGCAUUGGUAAGAGGAGCAAUCGGAGUGCUAAGAAAAUCAUUGUUGUUGGUAUUGGUAAAGUCACACAAUUUAGUAUUGUCUUGAGCCAUCGUGACAAGCAAUCCAACACACAAGCAAACAAGGAGCAAGCGAAAAAGAGGCGAACGGAAAAGAGAGGGUGAAUAAAACGGCAAGGGUGAAGUGGGGGAGAGGAAAACGAGAGGCAAAUGGCAAUUAAUGUAAUGCGAGGGAUAAGAGUUUGUGAUGGGUACUUGGUAUGUCUUGACUUGUGCAUAGACUCCCCGGCAACGGCGCCAGAAAUCCUUCUUGCUACCUCUUGAGCACUGCGUUGGUUUUCCCAUGAAGAGGACAGGGUGAUGCUGUAAAGUAGCGUAAGUAUUUCCCUCAGUUUUUGAGAACCAAGGUAUCAAUCCAGUAGGAGACCACGCUCGAGUCCCACGCACCUACACAAACAAAUAAGAACCUCGCAACCAACGUGAUAAAGGGGUUGUCAAUCCCUUCACGGUCACUUACGAUAGUGAGAUCUGAUAGAUAUGAUAAGAUAAUAUUUUUGAUAUUUUUAUGGUAAAGAGUAAAAGUAAAGAAAGCAAAAUAAACGGUAAAAGAAAUAGCUUAUUGACGGUGUUGGAGAUAUGCCCUAGAGGCAAUCAUGUGAUGAUGAUAUUUCCAUAUGUAUUCAUGAGUCCUUUGUAUUGUCCUUGAACAUCAUCAAUGAUAUGUAUUAAUAAGUAUGUGACUUGUUUGUGGAACUAUGUAUUGUAUGAUGAUUGUUUUAAUGGUCCCUAGUUGAUAAGGUUAUGCGGACACAUAUCCUUGACUAGUAUACGACUCGGUUGAUGACUAUGUUUCACAAGUCAUGUGCAUGGAGAUGCUAAACCGAUAGUAUGGGCUCGGGGGUGGAGAUCUCCGAGCCGGACAGACCCACUUUGAGACGCAGCGAGAUAUAGUCGUCUGUUAGUCUCAAGUGUAAUGUUUAUGCCAUGUCCUAGACCUGAGGUCCUCGCAUGUUCUCGGGAUGAGGAUCGACUCACUUAGGGUCUAUCAAACGCUACUCCGUAACUGGGUAGUUAUAAAGGUAGCUUUCAGGUGAGUCGUGAGACAUGCCGCGAGACAUGGUUGACCAAGAUGGAAUUUGCCCCUCCUAUUUGGAGAGAUAUUCUCUGGGCCCUCUCGAGUGAUCAGAUUCGGAAAGCAUGGCCAUGCGACUUGGGUUAAGUGUUAACCCAGUUCAGGAAUCUGUAUCAUGGUUUCGAGAAGAGAGGUCGAGCUAACACAAGGGUGACAAGUACUCGCCUUGAGCUCGACAACAAAUAUCGUGAGGCAAAAGGAAUGUUGCAUAUGCCACAUUGUUGAGGUUCGUCAAACGACUUUAUGCCCACAUGGGAGUUGGCACGUUCUGCUAG
rnacentral:lncRNA from 1 species